rnacentral:rRNA from 1 species
CACGUAGGGGACGAGCGUUGUCCGGAUUCAUUGGGCGUAAAGCGCGCGUAGGCGGCUCGGAAAGUCGGUCGUGAAAUGCCGGGGCUCAACCCCGGGACUGCGUCCGAUACUCUCGAGCUGGAAGCAGGUAGGGGAGAUCGGAAUUCCUGGUGUAGCGGUGAAAUGCGCAGAUAUCAGGAGGAACACCGGUGGCGAAGGCGGAUCUCUGGGCCUUGCCUGACGCUGAGGCGCGAAAGCUAGGGGAGCGAACAGG